AACGAACGCUGGCGGCAGGCUUAACACAUGCAAGUCGAGCGCCCCGCAAGGGGAGCGGCAGACGGGUGAGUAACGCGUGGGAAUCUACCCAUCUCUACGGAAUAACGCAUGGAAACGUGUGCUAAUACCGUAUACGUCCUUCGGGAGAAAGAUUUAACGGAGAUGGAUGAGCCCGCGUUGGAUUAGCUAGUUGGUGGGGUAAAGGCCUACCAAGGCGACGAUCCAUAGCUGGUCUGAGAGGAUGAUCAGCCACACUGGGACUGAGACACGGCCCAGACUCCUACGGGAGGCAGCAGUGGGGAAUAUUGGACAAUGGGCGCAAGCCUGGUCCAGCCAUGCCGCGUGAGUGAUGAAGGCCCUAGGGUUGUAAAGCUCUUUCACCGGUGAAGAUAAUGACGGUAACUGGAGAAGAAGCCCCGGCUAACAUCGUGCCAGCCGCCGCCGUAACAC
rnacentral:rRNA from 1 species